rnacentral:ncRNA from 1 species
AGCAGAUAAAGGCAAACCAUCUGAAAGGGUGGGACGCAAAGCUAUGGGUCUAAAGCGAAAGCUAUGAUUGCCAGGUUGCCAAG